rnacentral:tRNA from 15 species
GGGCGUGUAGCUCAGCGGGAGAGCAUUCGCUUCACACGCGAAGGGUCACAGGUUCAAUCCCUGUCACGCCCACCA